CAGGACGAACGCUGGCGGCGUGCCUAAUACAUGCAAGUCGAGCGGACAGAUGGGAGCUUGCUCCCUGAUGUUAGCGGCGGACGGGUGAGUAACACGUGGGUAACCUGCCUGUAAGACUGGGAUAACUCCGGGAAACCGGGGCUAAUACCGGAUGGUUGUUUGAACCGCAUGGUUCAAACAUAAAAGGUGGCUUCGGCUACCACUUACAGAUGGACCCGCGGCGCAUUAGCUAGUUGGUGAGGUAACGGCUCACCAAGGCAACGAUGCGUAGCCGACCUGAGAGGGUGAUCGGCCACACUGGGACUGAGACACGGCCCAGACUCCUACGGGAGGCAGCAGUAGGGAAUCUUCCGCAAUGGACGAAAGUCUGACGGAGCAACGCCGCGUGAGUGAUGAAGGUUUUCGGAUCGUAAAGCUCUGUUGUUAGGGAAGAACAAGUACCGUUCGAAUAGGGCGGUACCUUGACGGUACCUAACCAGAAAGCCACGGCUAACUACGUGCCAGCAGCCGCGGUAAUACGUAGGUGGCAAGCGUUGUCCGGAAUUAUUGGGCGUAAAGGGCUCGCAGGCGGUUUCUUAAGUCUGAUGUGAAAGCCCCCGGCUCAACCGGGGAGGGUCAUUGGAAACUGGGGAACUUGAGUGCAGAAGAGGAGAGUGGAAUUCCACGUGUAGCGGUGAAAUGCGUAGAGAUGUGGAGGAACACCAGUGGCGAAGGCGACUCUCUGGUCUGUAACUGACGCUGAGGAGCGAAAGCGUGGGGAGCGAACAGGAUUAGAUACCCUGGUAGUCCACGCCGUAAACG
rnacentral:rRNA from 1 species